CCUUCUCAUAGCGUUUACUGUCUGUGAAUCGAGAACUGGAGGACUUCGCUCUGCAAAUACAGCAGCCUUCUAUACUUCGGUACAUCUUUGGCUUGUGAAAACCAAACAUCUUUUCUUCUAGGCAAGUCUUUCAAAAACAGCCGUUCCACGCGCAGUCAGCGUCCCCGAGGUGCGGCGUGCACGCCAGGCCAACCACCCCCACCCCGCGCCUGUCGCUCCCUCCUUCCCCAACUGCCUUGUCUGGGAAGAUUGUCUCCU